UAACACGUGGGUAACCUGCCCAUCAGAAGGGGAUAACACUUGGAAACAGGUGCUAAUACCGUAUAACAAUCAAAACCGCAUGGUUUUGAUUUGAAAGGCGCUUUCGGGUGUCGCUGAUGGAUGGACCCGCGGUGCAUUAGCUAGUUGGUGAGGUAACGGCUCACCAAGGCCACGAUGCAUAGCCGACCUGAGAGGGUGAUCGGCCACAUUGGGACUGAGACACGGCCCAAACUCCUACGGGAGGCAGCAGUAGGGAAUCUUCGGCAAUGGACGAAAGUCUGACCGAGCAACGCCGCGUGAGUGAAGAAGGUUUUCGGAUCGUAAAACUCUGUUGUUAGAGAAGAACAAGGAUGAGAGUAACUGUUCAUCCCUUGACGGUAUCUAACCAGAAAGCCACGGCUAACUACGUGCCAGCAGCCGCGGUAAUACGUAGGUGGCAAGCGUUGUCCGGAUUUAUUGGGCGUAAAGCGAGCGCAGGCGGUUUCUUAAGUCUGAUGUGAAAGCCCCCGGCUCAACCGGGGAGGGUCAUUGGAAACUGGGAGACUUGAGUGCAGAAGAGGAGAGUGGAAUUCCAUGUGUAGCGGUGAAAUGCGUAGAUAUAUGGAGGAACACCAGUGGCGAAGGCGGCUC
rnacentral:rRNA from 1 species